UCCACAGGAGGAGCUUAUAAAGCUUCAGAGGACACCUAUUCACUCAGGUAUUGUUUCUGCUCCAGAAAGAAAUAAUGCUGAACUUCAUUGGUUUCCCUCCUUUACAGGCUAUGCAUCAAGAUGAUGAUGGUGAGAGAAGGAAGCACUUUUGGGAAGAAGUUCUCAAGUUCCUGGGUGGUCACCAGGGAAGAUAUCAAUCUGAGGCCAGCCACUGUUCAGCAGAAAAGCAUGAAUUAUACUGGCAGAUGUAACUACAGGAAGUGUCGCUUGAUGUUUGGGGCUGACCAAUGCUAUGAGCUGCUGAAGGCCAGAAACAAGUCUUCUCCUCCACACAAGCAGCUGAGGUCCUUCUCCUGCCUGGCCUUUUAAGUUGGAGUGCGGUGAGCAGCACUCUUCACAGUCUUCUCAGAAGUCCAGUACAGUCAGAAGAAUGGGAAAGGUCUGGUAAAAAAUGAAGAGUUCAAGUGUUGGUGGAGAGCAAAGAGCUUUGUGGAGCUGCUGAGAGGGCUUCCCCUGAAUUUGCAAAUUGGAGAAUCCUCAUAAGUCUCUGGUGAGGAGAGUGUGGGGAUCCCCCCCGUCAGGCAGGAGGGAUCUGCGCUGGAGCAACUGUCCUAAGCAAUUUAGUAUGAUUCUUUUUUCCCAGUUUGUUUUUUGGUUGUUACUGAGCUGCAUUGUUUAAAUUUAACUGUAAGAUUAAGGGUUGAGUGCAAAAUGGAGUUGUUUAGCAAGGGAUGCAACAUGUGCUUUCCUUUUAAUGUAAAAUCACAGAAUUCCAAGUUAUCCAUAAAAUCAAAUCCUGUGGAAAAGCAAUUUUGGAGUGGGAAAUUAAUUUUAAUAUUGUGUUAUUUCCACUGUAAUAGAAGAUUAACAAAAAGUACCUUUGGGGGGGGAAGAUUGAGACACUUUUCCUGGAAAUGUCAAUAUAGAGUUUUAUGACAUUGCUAUAACACUUUGGUCUUGAUUGCUUCAAAAUAAAAAUUUGGCAAUGUUCUACUUUGUAAGUCUCAUGUGACACUGCUAGAUUGUGAUUAUUUUUUUUUCAAUCAGCUUUCUAUAUUAUGUCUCUUUCCUCAUCAGUAUCUGGAAAAAAGUCAGAUUCAUUAGAAGGUAAAAUUUUUGGGGUAUUUGCAUACAAAUAAAAUCUUGAGUUAAGCUCUCUCUCUAUAGAGAGCAUAUAGAUAUUUCUCUGCUGUGAAGUUAGCAGACAAUCUAAUAGAUUUGCUCUUCAAUGUUUAAAUAACAUCUUCCUGAACAUUAACACAACUGCUCUACAGACUGCAUGGUGUUUCCUGAGGAGUUAUGGCAGUGACUGCAUGUUUCUCCAUGCUAAUCUAUAAAUUUUCUCCAUGCUAAUCUAUAAAUACGAGAACACCACACUAAGUUAAGAGAAGCUCAUUUUCCUUGUGCAUAGGCUAUGACAUCUCCAAGAUUACUAGCCAAGUGCUUUGGAUAGCAGAUGGACUGAAACAUGUACUUAUUUGCUGAGGGUUUUGCAGUAGUUACAUGCAUCCUGUCUACUAGAAUUGCUUACCCAUGCACAGCUUCUGCUUACUUGUAACUGGUGCAUUGUGACCAGAUAAACCAGAUACCAGAGUAUCCAAGCCAGCUUGCUUAGCUGGUGAAUAAUUGACUUUUUAAAAGUAUUAUGCUAUUAACUAUAAGUUACAAAAUAAUAGUUUGUCAGCUCUGUUAUAAUGUUCUGCAAGUUCAAGCUGGUAAUUAUGUAAAUUCUAACAACCCAAGUCAUACUGCUUCACCUCAAAGGCCCUCCAUAUGCAGAAAGAUCAUAGCAGUUUACAAAGGAUUUAAGCAUAGACUUGGGCCUUAAUCUUGUCUAGUUGAAAAAUGUAGGUAAUAAUGGAACAUGUAUUGUUGACUUAAAAUUGCUUAUCAGGAAGUCUGUGCAUUAGUGGACAAGGGCAAAUCAAAGGGGGAAAAGACAAGUUGAUCUUGGUUGGAAAAAAUGGCCUUUGUGAAUGACUAUAAGGUUCCCCCCAAAAGGUGGUGGUAUAGUAUUUCUAAGUGGCUUUUUCACCCUGGUGGAUUACCCAUCCACUUUGUUUUACCAUGGGCCUCUACAGCACUACCCACGUGAUAGCACAUUUCUUGUAUAAACUGUGGGAAUGUUGACAUUUGGUGUCAUUCCUGGUUAGAAGCUUGCUUUAUUAUUUUUUUGAGACAUCUGGGGAUAAAACUUAGAACUUCCACUGUAUCUGUAUCAUAAAUCAAACAUUUUGCUGGAGGAGAAUGGUGCCUUAAAAAAAAAAAAGGCAUGGAGAAUUCAAUCAAUACACUACCUAAAAUAUAACAGCUUGUCUGCAGUUUAAAUUCUAAUUCAUUAUUCAGUAUUUGCAUAUUUAUUAUGGGGUACUGGUUUUGAGAACAAUAAAGAAUGAAUUCAUCUUUCUGGUGUUUUAUAACUAUGAAAAUCAGAACAAAAAUUUCAGUGUUUUUAUGUAUGUAAUUUGA